UACGUAGGGUGCAAGCGUUGUCCGGAAUUAUUGGGCGUAAAGAGCUCGUAGGCGGUCUGUUGCGUCGGCUGUGAAAACCCGGGGCUCAACUCCGGGCCUGCAGCCGAUACGGGCAGACUAGAGUUCGGCAGGGGAGACUGGAAUUCCUGGUGUAGCGGUGAAAUGCGCAGAUAUCAGGAGGAACACCGGUGGCGAAGGCGGGUCUCUGGGCAUUAACUGACGCUGAGGAGCGAAAGCAUGGGGAGCGAACAGG
rnacentral:rRNA from 1 species